rnacentral:misc_RNA from 1 species
UUCUAGACUUGCUCUUCAUGUCGGGCUCCCUGCACUUUUGGUGCGGCCAACCGACAUGGGGCUGUCUCUUCACUCUCCCUCCCGUCAUUUAAUUUGUCGAGGUUGGGAUGCUUGUGAUCGGUUGCCUGUGUAGUUCUACCCUGUUGUGGGUAGUGAAGUUGUCCCUUGAAUGAUAUUUGCUUGCCUUUCUGACAUUCUUUUGUCGUUUGGGCAACCGAAAUGAUGGCGAAAUCCUUGUGUAGGUGCGUAGUCGAAUGGCCUUGUUGCUAUCACAUGGAUUUUUGCCGGCUCUUGCGGAUACAGUGCCUAGUGCUAGCUCUGCGUGACUAUGUCCCGCAGACUUCGGGAGGUCCCUUGUACGAAUCAUUGUGAUCAGAUGCCGUUUGUCGUGUUGCUUGUUUGGCACGCAAAUCGUAUUGUUCUGCCUGGAGUCGGGAUGAUGAAAGUCAGAAUGAAGUGUCUGGGGCGUGCUUUCGUACAUGGGGAAUGCCUCUUCGAUCGUAUGAGUANCNANNACNNNNNCUCNCGUCAUUUGAAGUCCUGCCCGUUUGGGUUGGUGCGGAAGUUGAUGCGCCGGGUCUCGUUUAAGACUUGC